GAUGAACGCUGGCGGCGUGCCUAAUACAUGCAAGUCGAGCGAAUGGAUUAAGAGCUUGCUCUUAUGAAGUUAGCGGCGGACGGGUGAGUAACACGUGGGUAACCUGCCCAUAAGACUGGGAUAACUCCGGGAAACCGGGGCUAAUACCGGAUAACAUUUUGAACCGCAUGGUUAGAAAUUGAAAGGCGGCUUCGGCUGUCACUUAUGGAUGGACCCGCGUCGCAUUAGCUAGUUGGUGAGGUAACGGCUCACCAAGGCAACGAGGCGUAGCCGACCUGAGAGGGUGAUCGGCCACACUGGGACUGAGACACGGCCCAGACUCCUACGGGAGGCAGCAGUAGGGAAUCUUCCGCAAUGGACGAAAGUCUGACGGAGCAACGCCGCGUGAGUGAUGAAGGCUUUCGGGUCGUAAAACUCUGUUGUUAGGGAAGAACAAGUGCUAGUUGAAUAAGCUGGCACCUUGACGGUACCUAACCAGAAAGCCACGGCUAACUACGUGCCAGCAACCGCAGUAA
rnacentral:rRNA from 1 species